AUUUAAAUAGCUUAUAUUAGAGCAUAACACUGAAGUUGUUAAGGAGAUAAAUUAUCUUUAAAUA
rnacentral:tRNA from 1 species